UACAUAGGGAGCGAGCGUUAUCCGGAUUUAUUGGGUGUAAAGGGUGCGUAGAUGGGAGUUUAAGUUAGUUGUGAAAUCCCUAGGCUCAACUUAGGAACUGCAACUAAAACUGAAUUUCUUGAGUGCUGGAGAGGUAAGUGGAAUUCCUAGUGUAGCGGUGAAAUGCGUAGAUAUUAGGAGGAACACCAGUGGCGAAGGCGACUUACUGGACAGUAACUGACAUUGAGGCACGAAAGUGUGGGGAGCAAAC
rnacentral:rRNA from 1 species